rnacentral:rRNA from 1 species
UACGUAGGGUGCAAGCGUUGUCCGGAAUUAUUGGGCGUAAAGAGCUCGUAGGCGGUUUGUCGCGUCGAAUGUGAAAACCCGGGGCUCAACCCCGGGCCUGCAGUCGAUACGGGCAGACUAGAGUUCGGUAGGGGAGACUGGAAUUCCUGGUGUAGCGGUGAAAUGCGCAGAUAUCAGGAGGAACACCGGUGGCGAAGGCGGGUCUCUGGGCCGAUACUGACGCUGAGGAGCGAAAGCGUGGGGAGCGAACAGG